rnacentral:lncRNA from 1 species
GAUGUUAAUAAAUGACACAACAACAAACUAACAAUACUGAGGAUCACUGCUGAUGUGGACCACCAGGCUGCUACUCUCAUCCCGUCACCACUUCCCCUGACGAACAGCCUGACCACCUGAACCAAAGUUUCCCAGUGUGUUUCAAGAAUGGUCCACCACCCAAAGGACAUCCAGCCAACUGUGGGAAGCAUUGGAGUCAACAUGGGCCAGCAUCCCUGAAGUCAACAUGGGCCAGCAUCCCUGGAGUCAACAUGGACCAGCAUCCCUGAAGUCAACAUGGACCAGCAUCCCUGGAGUCAACAUGGGCCAGCAUCCCUGGAGUCAACAUGGACCAGCAUCCCUGGAGUCAACAUGGACCAGCAUCCCUGGAGUCAACAUGGGCCAGCAUCCCUGGAGUCAACAUGGACCAGCAUCCCUGGAGUCAACAUGGACCAGCAUCCCUGGAGUCAACAUGGGCCAGCAUCCCUGGAGUCAACAUGGACCAGCAUCCCUGGAGUCAACAUGGACCAGCAUCCCUGUGGAACGAUUUUGUCACCUUGUACAG